UGAACGCUGGCGGCAUGCCUAACACAUGCAAGUCGAACGCGAAAGCACCUUCGGGUGCAAGUAGAGUGGCGGACGGGUGAGUAACGCGUGGGAAUCUGCCCAGUAGCUGGGGAUAACUCGAGGAAACUCGAGCUAAUACCGAAUACGCCCUACGGGGGAAAGGCUUCGGCCACUAUUGGAUGAGCCCGCGUCAGAUUAGCUAGUUGGUAGGGUAAUGGCCUACCAAGGCGACGAUCUGUAGCUGGUCUGAGAGGACGAACAGCCACACUGGGACUGAGACACGGCCCAGACUCCUACGGGAGGCAGCAGUGGGGAAUAUUGGACAAUGGGCGAAAGCCUGAUCCAGCAAUGCCGCGUGUGUGAAGAAGGCCUGCGGGUUGUAAAGCACUUUCAGUUGGGAAGAUUAUGACGUUACCAACAGAAGAAGCACCGGCUAACUCC
rnacentral:rRNA from 1 species